GAGGUAUGGCUCAGUGGUAGAGCACUUGCUUAGCAUGCAUGAGGCCCUGGGUUUGAUCCCAGGGACCACA
rnacentral:tRNA from 1 species